AUGGAACAUUGUGACAUAUAUGUGGGACCUGCACCCAGGUGAUGUAACUCUCUUGACUGGGACCUUUUCUAAGGAGGGCUUGCAAAUGUCUCAGGACCCAGGACCGUGUGAUGUGGCACUUCAGCCUGGAUUCUGCCCACCUAUUAAAUUGUCUAGGUGAUGUGACUUCCUGCUUGACCCUGCCCACAUGGAGCAUUGUGACAUAUGUGUGGAACCUGCACUUAGGGCCCAACACCUGGAUGAUGUUACUCUUCUGCCUAGGUCAUGCGUAAAGAGGGAAUUAGGGCAUAUUGCUUGGCCCAGUCCCGUAAUGAUAUGACUCUCCUGCUUGUGCCAGAGCCACAGAAGUGUGCUUGGUGACAUAAUCUUUGAGGCUGUCACAUCACCAAGAUUAUAUUGUAUCACUGGACCAGCAUAAAGCUGACACUUCUGACUAUGCCCAGCCUUCAAAUAAUACUACACUGUAUAAUUGGCUCAACACCCAGGUGAUAUUGUUCCAUUUACCUGAGACCAGAUAAAAAGCCUAAUGAUGACGCUUGUCCCCAGAGCCAGGACACGU
rnacentral:lncRNA from 10 species